UGGUUCCCUCGCAAUGAAAAACCGUGAACCUGGUCAGGCCCGGAAGGGAGCAGCCACAGCGGUGGCCUCAUGUGCCGGGGUGUAGCUG
rnacentral:SRP_RNA from 1 species